rnacentral:rRNA from 1 species
UGGGGAAUUUUGCGCAAUGGGGGAAACCCUGACGCAGCAAUGCCGCGUGGAGGACGAAGGUCUUCGGAUUGUAAACUCCUUUUGCGGGGGAAAAAUGACGGCGUGAAUAACGUCGAAUGAUGGUACCCCGCGAAUAAGCCACGGCUAACUUCGUGCCAGCAGCCGCGGUAAGACGAAGGUGGCGAGCGUUACUCGGAUUUACUAGGCGUAAAGCGUGGGCAGGUGGUUCGGUCAGUCUGUCGUGAAAGCCUUGGGCUUAACCCAGGGAGGUCGAUGGAUACUGCCGGACUUGAAUAUAGGAGAGGUGACUGGAAUUCCUGGUGUAGCGGUGAAAUGCGUAGAUAUCAGGAGGAACAUCGAUGGCGAAGGCAGGUCACUGGACUAUCAUUGACACUCAUCCACGAAAGCUGGGGGAUCAAACAGG